CUAUUACUAAAUAAUAGACCUGUUUAUUGUUGGGCCACUGCUGGGCUGGUUUUUCAGUUUUCUUAUUGUUGGUGUUUUUUAACCGAAGUAGCGAAUUUUACAGAUUUAAAAUUUCUUUCUCAUUGUUAUCUACACAAACAAAAGGUUGUACAUUUUCUCCCCUCCCACCCAACCCAUGUAGUUUGUUUUUACACAGUGUUGUUCUGUCACACUUUACUGCGUCCGUUAUAUAUUUAAAAAUUUGGUCAGGCUUAGGGUAAAUAUAGUUUUAUUUUAAGUUUUAUUUGCCUGUCCACAUUAAUUUUAAUAACAUAAGGGGAAACUGAUUGUUUUCCGUACUAGAUUUGGUUUUAGUAUAUUACAUAUUCUGCUGGUUUGAGUUGCGUUUUUCAGUUCGCCGUGUAGACGCAGAGUACCAAACGUCGGAUACAGGUCGGUCACGACUCCACUUCCGAUGGGGCAGUUCGGACACCUCGGGUUCGUCGACAGUCACUUGAAGUUAACAGUUCCUUGGCAAUCAGUGCCGGAUGGACGCUUUUUACCUGGCACAUUUUUUGGGGAAAAUAUAUAUGAUUUUGUUGGGAGUGCUGAUGGCCGUCACCCGGAGUCAGCACUCAUAUACAAUUUAUUUGUGCAGUUAGUUAUAUGCAGUUAGUUUGGGCUUGCCAUGUUCGCAGGUGGCCCUUGCUGCUUGGAGUCGAGACAUUAUAUGCCAGAACCAUUUGUUUUGUUUUUAUGUUAUAAGGUCCUUUAAUAAAAAGUAAAAAUUUA